AUUGAACGCUGGCGGCAGGCCUAACACAUGCAAGUCGAACGGUAACAGGAUGCAGCUUGCUGCUUUGCUGACGAGUUGCGGACGGGGUAGUAAUGUUGGGGAAACUGCUCGAUGGAGUGGGAUAACUACUGGAAACGGCAGCUAAUACCGCAUAACGUCGCUAGACCAUAGUGGGGGACCUUAGGGCCUCUUGCCAGCGGAUGUGCCCAGCUGGGAUUAGAUAGUAGGUGGGGUAACGGCGCACCUAGGCGACGAUCGCUCGCUGGUCUUAGAGGAUGACCAGCCACACUGGAACUGAGACACGGUCCAGACUACUACGGGAGGCAGCAGUGGGGAAUAUUGCACAAUGGGCGCGAGUAUGAUGCAGCCAUGCCGCGUGUAUGAAGAAGGCCUUCGGGUUGUAAAGUACUUUCAGCGGGGAGAAAGGGAGUACAGUUAAUACCUUUGCUAAUUGACGUUACCCGCAGAAGAAGCACCGGCUAACUACGUG
rnacentral:rRNA from 1 species